rnacentral:rRNA from 1 species
UACGGAGGGAGCUAGCGUUGUUCGGAAUUACUGGGCGUAAAGCGCGCGUAGGCGGCUUUGUAAGUUAGAGGUGAAAGGCCCGGGGCUCAACCCCGGAAUUGCCUUUAAGACUGCAUCGCUUGAAUCCGGGAGAGGUGAGUGGAAUUCCGAGUGUAGAGGUGAAAUUCGUAGAUAUUCGGAAGAACACCAGUGGCGAAGGCGGCUCACUGGACCGGCAUUGACGCUGAGGUGCGAA